rnacentral:lncRNA from 1 species
UGAUCCGUCCUAAUUAGAGUUUUCACGUUUUUUUAAAAACCCUAAUUAGGACGAGUUCCACUUAUUUGUGAGAGGAUAAAAUGAAUAUAUCUUGUACACAUUUACUUUUGAGUGUGUACCAAUCAUUAUUGAACAUUUUUCAUUAGUUAGUUGUGCCUGUCAACUUAGCAAGGAAAAGAGAGAAAGAGUGGGGAGAAUGAGAGAGAAAAGGAGGAGAGAGAAUGAUUGGAUAGAAGAAUGAUUGAUUGAGGUUAAUUUAUUGGUUAAUAUUUUAACUAUUUGAUAUUUAGUUAAUAUAUGAGAACUUAUGUGAUCACUUGCUAGUUAACUAUUUACCAAAUUAAAUUAAACUCUAUUUUUGUACUAGGCAGACAUUUUAACACAUGAAAUCUAGCUUAUGCAAUGAAGAUGCUCUAAGAACUCAAGCAAAACCAAAUCCCCUCGAGCUUGAAUAUGUGGAGAGAGAGAGAGAGAGAGAGAGAGGUCUUCGGAGAGAGAGAGAACCUAACGUGAGUGCGUGAUGGCAUUCACAAGAGAACAGACAAAGGUAAAUUUCACCGACCCCUCCUUGACAAAUACAAAUACUUUCCUUAAAAGUUUUAAAAUAACACUAUUUUCAUUACUUUUAAAAUUAUUAUUAUCACGAUUUAGCAUCUUUCUACUAGAAGGGAAUAAGUGAAAAAAAUUAAAUUAAAAACUAUUUUCUCGAAAUUGCAUCUCCAUCUAAACACAGCUACUCGUAGUGCUUAUUUAUUCAUCACUUUGGUAGAAUUAUAAUGGGUUACAUAACAUUAAGGCUCCGUUUGGUAAUACUUAAAAAUCAAGUUUUUUUUAAGCUUGCUAUCAAAAAAGUUAAGAAUUUUUAAUUUUUUACUUUUGUGGCUUUACUUUAGCUAAAACUAAGUAAAAAGGCAAAAACAGAAAAAUAAAAAAGUCAAUUCUGAUUGACUUUUUUGCUUAUUUUAAGUCAAAAAAAAAAGAUAAAAAAAGCUGGUGCCAAACGGAGCCUAACAGAGGAUAACAAUAAACCUUCCCUAAUCAUACUUUACCACUAUGAUUUUUUCUCAAAAUCUCUAAAUAUUGUUACAAUAAGACACCAUACCAAGUAAGUAACUGGCAUUUUCGAACCACAUUACAAAAUUUUGAUUUUUUGAUUUUUUCCCCUAAUCAUGUAAUUUUGAUUUUUUCGUUAUUAGUAAAAAAAAAUGACGGUUUAGCCAGAAAAGGGAAAAAAAAACCACAGAAUUAUAUAUUGGUUAGAUUUUUUUAAUUUUGUUGAUCUUGAAGAAUGUACUGGGUGGUGAUUUCGUGUUGAUCUUGACGGAUUCAAGAGGGUGGCGCUUUUUUGAGUCAUUGUUCUGGCUUGUUGUCUGAGACGAGGACAAGUGACAAGAGGAGCACCCACAAAACACACAGCUUCGGUUCAUCUCGUUCUUGUUCCACGAAAAAUCAACGAUCGGAUCCAAUCUUUAAUAUCUCCGAUCUUUAUGGUUCAUGGUACGAUGUUAUUUUCAAAUCAGACCCAACACCUCGUGUUCCUCGUCAGGGGCAGAGUCAGAAUGUUUGUUCAAUGAGAUUAAAUUCAUAAAAUUAUAUAUAAUUAUGAGAUGAUAGUGUAAUUUUUUUUUUCAGUGAGAUCAAAAUUAUAUUAAAAAUGUAUUUUUUUCUGUGAAAUAAUAAUGAUAUUUUUUUUUCCAGUGGAGUCACUUGACCCCACAGCUUUUUGACUGCUACCUCUGUUGUGCCCAAACGAGUUACAGUCACUCUACAACAUCAACCACAUUACAUGAGAACAGAUCCCCACCCCUACGUGGUUCGGCCAAUCUGCCUACAUCCACGGAGAGGAAACAAAUAAUUCAAAACUAUCACAGAAUGAAUUACAAUGAGUAUAAUAGGAGGAGCUCAUCUCCAUCACCUCUCAGCACUCUCUCAUCCUCUCACCAUCCACUGUUCUCUCCUCAAAUCUCACAGCUACAUUCUAGCCCACCUCUGCAAGAUUCUCUCUGUGCUCUCGGUGCUCCUCCAUAGCCACACUAGCACUCCCACAGCCCCUCUGCACACCGAUUUCUGCGGGGUGUGGCCCCCAACAAAUCCCCCACCCCUUACAUUCUUGCACCACUGCUCUUCUAUCUGGCACCUCUCUGAUUUAUAGGCCACCAAGAAAGAGACGAUGAGCUCACGGCUGAGAUCAACAUGCCUCCAUUGAGACUUCUCGGCAAGGACGCUCGUGUGACAGUUUCUCUCUCUGCCAUUCUUUCUUCCUCUGCCUAAAUCAGAGACAAAGUCUCUGAUGAAAUCAAUGAAGUCGAGGUGUUGCAUCUAGAAGAAGAGGAUUUUGGCAAGGCUUGGGUUGGGCCUUGGGCUUUUGGCUUCAUGGGCUUGGGUAUUCCAAUGGGCCUCAUAGGGCUGGACUCCAACAAUCUCCCCCUCCAGCCCAUUGGAGGUUUACUCGGCAUUAGUCAAGUUAUCCCAUCCCCGACAACUUCUGGUCCAGCUCCCUGUAAGAUCUACAAGACAGUAUCCGAGAUACUUACACUCAUCGUGGGCACUCCACUUGCCACUGAACAAAGAAAAAGUUGGGGAAAAUGCACUUCAAACCUGAAGUGCAUGCACCUUCUCACUUAGGUGAAUUGCUCCCCCCACCGGGGUGCGCUGGCAAAGUACGUCGCUUUGCAAGUCGUCGUGACUCCACUCUCCUCCCUUGUGUGCACAACUAGAGAGAUUACCGCCACUUAUCUUGAGGGAAAGGAGAUUCGUUCCGGCGGGACGUCCACGCCGGUCGUGUACAUCUACUCUGUCUCUCUCCUUGAGCUUCUUCAUGGACCAUCUUGCCACUGGUUGCCACCUUUUUGUGUCUGGCCAGACUCAGCACGUAUCCCAAAGAUCUCCUUGCGCUCAUGUUCCACUGUGAACCUUCAGUACAUCCAUCAGGUAAUCCUGCGCUUGCUUUGCGUGCCUCUGUGCAACGGUUGCUCUUUCGUCCACUCAAUCUUGCUAAUCCACUGACUAUGUCGGACAGCAGCUCUCCGUCUGAACAUUCUCCCUCAGUCAGUAUAGCCUCCGUCUUCCUUCUUCUGCAGCUUCUCCUGUUUCACUUGGAAACUCUGAGUGUUCCUCCACUAGCUUCAAAAGCUUUCAUCGCUCGGACUCCUGCAUCUCAAUGAAUCAUGUUACCCCGGUCACAUCAUGGAUCUUCCGUCUGACGGAACCGGACUGUCCUUUGCUAAACACAUCGCAUCGUUCGCCAUCCGAACAGUCCCGUGUCGCAUGAUACAUGGUAGAGAACAAACUAUGUCUCUGCAAAGUGGUAGCAAUCCUGUAUCAGAAAUCCAAUCUGCUCUUCAUCUGCAGAUGCCUGCCUAGUCACUCUCCUCCACGCCAUCAUUGCUGUUGUUGCUGCCUCUGAAGACUGAUAUGGUGCUUUGUUCCUUUGGCAAUUCUUCUUGUCCCCUGGUCGCAAUAAAAGCACUUAAAGUGCUACCUCUGGAUUCUGCCCUCCGCCAUCAUCUGGCCUUGACCUCUUCUCUUCCUCUUUCUUUGACCUCUGUGACUCUUCCUGUGGCCCUCUUCUCUAGAACUCGCUCGUUUGUUCCGCCACUGUAGUCCCUCUCUUACGCUUCACACACAGCCUUCUCAAUACGACUUUGUUCUGAGAUUAUUCUCCCGGUACAUCCCUUCAACUUGGUCCACAACCCAUGGCACUCGUCUCAUCGUCUACAUGUUGGAACACUCCUGUGUUAAUGCAUUGUCAGAUCUGCAACCCCUCUUCUCAUCGUGCUACAUGAUGAACACCUCGUGUUCACUGCAUUGUCUGAUAUGCCCAAUCACUCUUUAUGCUCAUCUCUCCUCAUCCUUGGUUUUCAUGGGGCGUAAUCCCGCAUCUGAAAGCUUGAUCGGGCUCUCAAAUUACUCCUCCUUCUUCUUCUCCAAAAUAGAGCAAAUUCUCUAAAACCGACCUCGGCGUAUGAAUCCGGAUGCCGGAAACUCAUACAGGGCUUUCCGGCAAAAAAUCAGACACUUCUGGGACCCAAAUUGAUCAAUCAGAACUUCAGGGACUAAAUUAAAUUUUCAUUUUUCCAGGACCGAAUUGGCAUUUCCCAAAUCCAGGACCAACUGCAAUUUCCCAAACUUCAGGGAACCAAAUUGAAAAUAUCAAAAGUUUCAGGGACUAAAGUGCAAUUUUCACUUUUCGUCAACUUCACUGGCUGGUCACGCCGGCUUGGCUCGGUCCACGGGUCAUGGCUCUGGUCACCUGCCGGCUCGGCUCGUAGUCAACGGUCGGUCAACGGCUCAGGUUUACUGGUCAACAGCUCAAUUUGACGGUCAAUGGCUGUGAUAUAUUGGCGUUUGAAUUUUUUUCUAACAAACAAAAAACAUAAUCAUUUUCUUUUUUAAAAAACUUUUACUUUUUCUUUUUCUUUCUCUUUUUUCCUUUUCUUUUCUUUCAUGAUUAUGUUUCCCCUUGUCUCUUCAUGUUUUUUUCUUCUUGACACGGCAGAAGGCAUCUCUUGGCGCUGGGGCUCGUGGGGGCGCUUGGGGCCGUGAAAAUCCAGUCAUUUCUACCUCUGGCGCGCGUGGGUUGCGUGGAUCUGACGCCCGACCUUCAGGCGGCGCGUGAGGCUCUUUUGGAGGCCGAUUUUGACUCCGUUUGGUGCUGGAGCUUCGUCCUCGGCGAGACGAUUUAGUGGUAUCUCAAAUCUCAGUUUUGAGCAAUUCGAAAUUUGCUCAACAUCGAAGAUGUACUCCGGUGGUACUCUCGGUGACUCUCCGGUGACUCAAACUUGGCUUGAUACCAAUUGUGUGCCCAAAACGAGUUACCAGUCAACUCUACCAACAUCAACCAAACAUGAUACACAGAUAUACGUGGUUCGGCCAAUCUGCCUACAUCCACGGAGAGGAACACAUAAUUCACUAUCACAGAAUGAAUUAUAAUGAGUACAAUAGGGAGGAGCUCAUCUCCACUCACCUCUCAAGCACUCUCUCAUCUCUUCACCAUCCAA